rnacentral:rRNA from 1 species
UGGGGAAUUUUCCGCAAUGGGCGAAAGCCUGACAGAGCAAUGCCGCGUGGAGGUGGAAGGCCUACGGGUUGUCAACUUCUUUUCUCAGAGAAGAAACAAUGACAGUAUCUGAGGAAUAAGCAUCGUCUAACUCUGUGCCAA